ACGGUGACAUCUCAUUGAAACACCGGUUGCCGUACGAACACCGAAGUUAAGCAACAUUGAGUCUGGUCAGUACCUUGAUGAGAGACCGCUAGGGAUUACCAUGUGUUGUAAG